GCGAGCGUAGCCAAGGGGUUAAGGCAUCGGAUUGUGGUUCCGACACUCGGGGGUUCGAAUCCCCUCGUUCGCC
rnacentral:tRNA from 2 species